GGGAACUGAAACAUCUAAGUACCCCGAGGAAAAGAAAUCAACCGAGAUUCCCUAAGUAGCGGCGAGCGAACGGGGACUAGCCCUUAAGCUAGACAACUGGUAGGAGAAGGCUCUGGAAAGUGCCGCCAUAGUGGGUGAUAGCCCCGUAUCCGAAACCUGAGUCUGGUGAAAUCGAGUAGGACGGGACACGUGAUAUCCUGUCUGAACAUGGGGGGACC
rnacentral:rRNA from 1 species